rnacentral:rRNA from 1 species
AUUGAACGCUGGCGGCAGGCCUAACACAUGCAAGUCGAACGAGUGGCGGACGGGUGAGUAAUGUCUGGGAAACUGCCCGAUGGAGGGGGAUAACUACUGGAAACGGUAGCUAAUACCGCAUACCAUCGGAUGUGCCCAGAUGGGAUUAGCUAGUAGGUGGGGUAACGGCUCACCUAGGCGACGAUCCCUAGCUGGUAUGAGAGGAUGACCAGCCACACUGGAACUGAGCCACGGUCCAGACUCCUACGGGUGGCAGCAGUGGUGAAUAUGACACAAUGGGCGCAAGUCUGAUGCAGCCAUGCCGCGUGGAUGAAGAAGGACUUCGGGUUGUAAAGUACUUUCAGCGAGGAGGCGUUACUCGCAGAAGAAGCACAGGCUAACUCCGGGCCAGCAGCCGCGGUAAUUC